AGUGUUUCCAUUAUGAUGGUUCCUGAGGCCCAGGACAUGCCCCUCCUAGCGCCCGCCCCGCCCGCGCGAUGCCCGGCAGUAACCCCGAGGCGCACGGCAGCCUAGACGCCUUCAACUAGCUCGAUUCCUCUGAGAUCUGUUGAAGUAAUGAGAAAGGAAACUGAGACCCAGGGAGUUCCAGAAACCUGCUCGAGAGUAAAUAACAGAAUUGCAAAGAGCUGGAGAGAGCAGCAGGUGUCCUCCCUUCCUGAAGGAGCCUUGGAGACAGAGGAAAGGAAAUAGAAGUAAGUGGGCCAGCCUCCUCCCACUCCCAUCUCUUUCCAAGAAUCUGCUCCCUUGAGUGUCUCAGGGAGUUGGAAUGUCACCGCCUCAUGGGUCCUCCACUGAGUUGCUGCUCAGGCUGAUUAAAACAAAGGCUGCAAUUGGGCUACCCUUGCCCGAAAGUAACCCUGUCUGCAUGCCUUGCUGAGGUGACCAGGGGAGACGUGGGGGCUGUUGGAUGCCUCUGUUGCCAUUGGCAAGAAGAUGGCUGCCUGGAACUUGAAUCAUUACCCUGUUGAGAGUCCCACAUGCUGAGAGCUUUGAACAUACUUGAACCCUGAGCUGGAUGGUUAUAAUUGAAUUCUCCUGUGACCCUCUCGAGUCUUGUGCAAUAAUUGAUCGCUGGUUUUCGGAGGAUAAAACUGAGGCUCUAAGAAAGUGAUUCCCUACCUCCUACAACAAGUGAAAAGCUGAGACUCAGCGCCUCCCAUGGCUCUGGGUCUUCAGAUCCAACACUUGCUGGGGGUUAGUAGAGGUGGUUUGGAAAACCAUCUGUAGAUUUUCUCCUUUGUUAUCACAGGAAAUUUUAAAUGAGAAGGUCCAGCAAGUGAUGUCCUCCUUCCAGAUGAAUGACUUUCAUCAGGGAUGCACAUAGAAGAGGGCGGAGAGUGAAGUUGGUUGCAGUGCCUGCAACUGUGCUUGGCACAUAGUAUGUGCUCAUAAAAACAUUUCCUAAGUGAUUGACUAAAGGAGAGGAAUAGAUGGAAGUAGGAGCAGAGGCAUUUCAGUCUGAUAUACCAAUGUAUCUGUUAGUGAAAGGUUUACUGGCCUUAGAACACCAUUGGUAAAUAUACUGAGAACGGAUGAAGCAAAGCCCUGGUCUACAUCUUUCUGGUUCAUUUGCUCUCACUGAGCCUCUUGUGAUUUUUGCUGCUGUUUUUUCACUGGGAAGGACCUUUCACUUCAUUCUUUCAGAAGCCACUACUUUUUGAAGAGGAGGAGGAG
rnacentral:lncRNA from 1 species